AGAACGAACGCUGGCGGCAUGCCUAACACAUGCAAGUCGAACGAAGUCCUUCGGGGCUUAGUGGCGCACGGGUGCGUAACGCGUGGGAAUCUGCCUUUAGGUUCGGAAUAACAGUUAGAAAUGACUGCUAAUACCGGAUGAAGUCUUCGGACCAAAGAUUUAUCGCCUAGAGAUGAGCCCGCGUAAGAUUAGCUAGUUGGUGGGGUAAAGGCCUACCAAGGCGACGAUCUUUAGCUGGUCUGAGAGGAUGAUCAGCCACACUGGGACUGAGACACGGCCCAGACUCCUACGGGAGGCAGCAGUGGGGAAUAUUGGACAAUGGGCGAAAGCCUGAUCCAGCAAUGCCGCGUGAGUGAUGAAGGCCUUCGGGUCGUAAAGGCUCUUUUACCCGGGAUGAUAAUGACAGUACCGGGAGAAUAAGCUCCGGCUAACUCCGUGCCAGCAGCCGC
rnacentral:rRNA from 1 species